GAUGAACGCUGGCGGCGUGCUUAACACAUGCAAGUCGAACGGAAAGGCCCUGCUAUUGUGGUGUGCUCGAGUGGCGAACGGGUGAGUAAGACGGGAGUAAUCUGGCCUUGGCUUUGGGAUAACUUCAGGAAACUGGGGCUAGUACCGGAUAGGAACUCCUGCUGCAUGGUGUGGGUUGGAAAGUUUUGGCGGUUGGGGGUGGACUCGGGGCUUAUAUGCUUGUGGGUGGGGUAGUGGCUUAACAAGGCUUUGGCGGGUAGACGGCGUGGGUGGGUGACCGGCCCCAUUGGGAAUGAGAACACGCCCCGGCUCCUACGGGGGGGAGGAGGGGGGAAUAUUGCCGAAUGGGGGGAAGCCUGAUGGAGCAACGCCGCGUGGGGGAUGAAGGCCUUCCGGUUGUAAACCGCUUUCGCCUGUGAAGAAGCGUGAGUACCGGUACUGGGUAAAGAAGCACCGGCUAACUACGU
rnacentral:rRNA from 1 species